GAGGCAGAGUCUCACUCUGUCCAUUGCCCAGGCUGUAGAGCAAUGGCGUGAUCUCAGCUCACUGCAACCUCUGCCUCCCGGGUUCAAGCAAUUCUCCUGCCUCAGCCUCCCGAGUAGCUAGAACACAGGUGCCCGCCACCACAUCCGGCUAAUUUUUUGUAUUUUUAGUAGAGGUGGGGUUUCAUCAUGUUGGCCAGGCUGGUCUGGAACUCCUGACCUCAGGUGAUCCACCUGCCUUGGCCUCCCAAAGUGCUGGGAUUACAGGCGUGAGCCACUGCGCCUGGCUGCUCUGCUUUUUACCCAUAGCUCUGGCUCUAAUAUAUGACACUGCCCCUCCCUGAAUUAGAAUGGAGGCUACAGGGGGAUGCUGGUCUGUUAGUUGACUGAUGCAUCUUCAGCACUUAAGACAGUGUCUGGCACAGAGUAGGAACAGAAUAUGGUCCUGUAACAAAUACUGAAGGUUGUGCUCUGUGCACCUGGGAUAGAGCAGGAGCAAGACACAUCAUUCCUGCCCUCACAGGGUUAUGGUCUCCUAGGUGACAAGGUAGUGCACACUUCCAUAGGUCUUACUCUGGGACAAGUACUGUGCCAAAUGCUUCCUCCCAGCCGCCUGAUGAGGUAGCUACUGUUAGUUAUCAAGUCUGAUUUACAGGUGAGGCAAAGAAAGGAUAAGUAAUUGACCCAAGGUCACACCUAGCAGGUGGUGAAGCUGAGCCAUGGGUCUUGGCUUCAAGAAUCUGUGCUCUUACCCACCAUACCUGCUGCUGCCGGAUUCAAACCCGAAUUGCAUUAAGGAAUCAUCAUAACCUGUUUGAUUGAAGCUAUAAGGGAACUUUGAGCAUGGUGAAUGGGGCGCUCUAUGGAAAAGGGGUUCUGGGAAGCCUCUGUGGAAGGGAGGUUUUGUUAAGUGAACUCCCCUGGUAAACGGAGUGAUUGGCCCCCAAUUAGCUUGCUGUUCGGAUUAACUGUAAUACAUCACACUUUCGAAAGUGAAGAUAUGCCUAUUUUUUCCCCUCUAGGUCUAUAAAGUAGAUUUUUGCCAUUAGUAAAAUUUAAAGUGAUUGGGGGCUAUGGUUACUGAGAAUUCAAGAGGUAGAUUGACGAAAUAAUAUUUGAAUGCAAUUUUAUUUUUUGAAAAAUGUUUUCGAGAUGUCCUGUUUUUAGCCAGGAAGCAAACUCCAGGAAAACUCUCUUUUCCAUUAAAGUGUGGAUGGUGUACUGUAAACAAAGACUAGCUCUCUUGAGCUGCCACGUUUCUAUAACUUAUAGAAACAGAAGCUGUUUUUUUUUUCUAAAGAUCCAAACUCAUGUUGCCACACAAACAACAAAAUAAACCAGUGUGUUCCAAAAACAAGCAUUUGCUCUACCCACACGCACAGUUGGAAAGAUGCAGGUUUGAUUGAAGAAGUCGGAAGCCAGUGAGGUGCAUACUUAGGUAGAGCUAUUCUUUAUCAGCCUGGGGCUAAGAUUUGUUCCUGGGCAGGUUAUCUUUGUCUCUGCCUGGAUAGAGGCAGGGGCAGUAGAGUUGUCAUGCAUUCCAGACUACUAGCUAUGCAGAAGCAGGAGCAAGGGUGGAGAGAAGAAGGCAGAGAGAAGUGGAAUGACACUCCUGAGGCUAGGCAUUUGCCAAAUUGGUCCAACAAGUGCAGUUCUUCUAGUCUCCUAUCUAGAUAAGCAGGAUAUUAGAAGGAAUAGGAGAGGCCUGCAAAAAGCUAUGAUAGGGUGGAAAUAGGAUAGGAGAAACUGAAAAAAGGGGAGGCGUGCGCUCCAACACCUCCAUAGCCCUUGGGGACGGGCUUAGUUUCUAAUGAGAAUACAGAAGGCCCAUGUCUCAAUAGGCCCCGAAAAAUAUUAAUCCAGCCCAAUAUGAACAGUCUGCUAAUUAUAUGACUGGGCCUGCUUAGGAGAUCAGGGCAAUAUUACAUUCAGAGUACUCAGUUUAGGAAGAUGACACAGUGUAAUACAUACAGAUUUCCAUCAUUUCUUUUAUUCCUCAUUUGGAGAGGCAACAGGGCUGAGAUAGACAUGUUAGCGAUGGCUAGAUUGAUUGAUUUAUUGACUGAAUGAAUGGCCUGCUUUAGGCAGCGGGAACACUGAAUGAACAUUUUAAAAUCAGCUGGUAUAGGUCAGGAACUGUGCAGGUUGCUGGGAAUGGGUAGAUGAAAAGACAUUGCUAUGGUUUGGCUGUGUCCCCACCUAAAUUUCACCUUGAAUUGUAAUCCCCAUGUUUCAAGGGUGGGACCAGGUGGAGAUAAUUGAAUGGGGGGGUGGUUUCUCCCAUACUAUUCUGGUGGUAGUGAAUAAGUCUCACGAGAGCUGAUGGUUUUAUAAAUGGGAGUUCCCCUGCACAAGCCCUCUUGCCUGCCACCAUGUAAGAUGUGACUUUGCGCCUCCUUCCCCUUCCACCGUGAUUGUGAGGCCUCGCCAGCCAUGUGGAACUGUGAGUCAAUUAAGCCUCUUUCCUUUAUAAAUUACCCAGUCUCAGGUAUGUCUUCAUUUGCAGCAUGAGAACAGACUAAUACAGACAUGGACCUUGGCUGUAGGGAGUUUGCACUGUAGUGACGGCAAGAGCUCACGUGAUCCAUUUUAAGAUAGAAGAGCGAGCUCAGGCAGAGGAACACAGAGCCAGGAUGGUCCAUGCACGGAAUCUGGCCCUGCCCUUACUUUCUCCAGGAGCAUGGGCUGGGUCCCUCUCCUCCCUAAUCCUCACUUUGCUCAUGUGUGAAAUGUAGAUCAAGUAAGUUCUACACUCAGAGGUCUCUUGUGAAGAUUAAAUGAGAAAAGGCAUGGAAACUGCCUUUGCACACAGCCUGGUAUAUCCUGAUGUCUGCUGAUACUCUUAUUUUUAUGUUCCUUGACAUUCCAAAUCUGCCCCAGGGAGAAUUCCAGGACAGCUCUGGAGAGGAAGUGAUCUUUGAAUCCAACCUUGAAAUCACCCUAGGAGAUGCAAAGAAGGUGACACCAGUUAAGAAUAAGAUGUGUACCCAUUUUCAAAUGUUCUUUUUUUUUUUUUUCAGAUGGAGUCUCGCUCUGAUGCCUAGGCUGGAGUGCAGUGGGGUGAUCUCGGCUAAUUGCAACCUCCGCCUCCCGGGAUAAAGCGAUUCUCCUGCCUCAGCCUCCCGAGUAGCUGGGAUUACAGGCGCCUGCCACCAUGCCCAGCUAAUUUUUGUGUUUUUAGUAGAGAUGGGAUUUCACCAUGUUGGCCAGACUGGUCUUGAACUCCUGACCUCAAGAAUCCACCUGCCUUGGCCUCCCAAAGUGCUGAGAUUACAGGCAUGAGGCACUGCACCUGGCCCAAAUCUUCUCAGUUCUAAAUGGCUGUGAUAAAAACUACAUUGAUAAUUUUUUUUUUUUUUUUUUUUUGGAGAUGGAGUCUCGCUCUGGUGCCCAGGCUGAAGUGCAAUGGCGCAAUCUUGGCUCACUGCAAGCUCCGCCUCCUGGGUUCACGCCAUUCUCCUGCCUCAGCCUCCCGAGUAGAUGGGGCUACAGGCGCCUGCCACCACCCCCGGCUAAUUUUUUUUGUAUUUUUAGUAGAGACGGGGUUUCACCAUGUUAGCCAGGAUGGUCUUGAUCUCCUGACCUCGUGAUCCGCCCACCUCAGCCUCCCAAAGUGCUGGGAUUACAGGCCUCUGCGCCUGGCCUUGCAUUGACAAUUAAUUUGUUUAUGGAAAGCCAGUUAUCCAAUGAUGGUGAACAAAUGCAACUUGACUGUAUAAUACUUAUUUUGGUUUUGGACCAAAGUCACCAUUAAAUAUGCCAAGUUCUUGUUCAAG
rnacentral:lncRNA from 1 species